AUUGGUUACAUACAAGAGUAGAGAUUCAGGUAAAUACCAGCGUGUAUGCCCUUAAAUGGGCACACCUGUCUUUCUUCCAGAUUGUUCGUGUGGGUGGUUGAGUCAAGCUACUUGGUAAUCAGGCAGAUUGGGCUUUGCUGGUGCUAAUUGCCUUAAGUGAACAGAGACUUUACAUUCCCCUGGUGGUGGGCCGCCGAGACCUAGAGCCCUGCAUGGGCCCUGCGCCGCCGGAGGCUUCUGCCCAGGGUACCUGCUCCAGCCUCAGCUUUCUGCGGGUCCUGCGUGGCAUCAACAGGAUUUGCCAUGGAGACGUCUCUUCUUCUUCCUGUUACCUAAAUUCCUCAGUCAGGGGCAAGAACCCCUCUUCCUGUCCAUGAACCACAACUGUGGCGGAGUCAACAUACUCACCAGCGGGGCCUUCAAAUAACAACAGCUGCGGCAUCAACGCGAACAACUCAUCCCAAACAAAGUGCUUCUUACGGGGUGACCACUGCUGCAAACACUGCUCAUAUUAACUCCACAACGCCACUAUUGAGUGGGUACUGGUCUUGUGCAUGUUUUCUGUAGGAGCCGAGUGGUUCAUUAGUGGUUCUGUGGUCCCUCGGGUGUAAGUGGUAGUGCCUUGGUUGGAACCUAAAGGGUUUGGAUUCAGAGUCUUUGUUCUGAACUGCAGACAGCAAAAUUGCCUCCUCCUACGGGAGCUGCUGAGUUUUUCUUCCAUCUCGGCUACGUGCCGGGUACAUGAUCUUGGAUGAGGUUCUUCUCCCUGUGCCUCCCUGGGCCACCUACAAGGCGGAUCUGGUUGAUUGCAGUUGUGGGUAGGUUUCCAAUGAAUUAGUGCAUGGGCGGCAUUUAGAACUGAAAAGUCAUAAAUUCUCAAUAAAUUUUACCUGAGGUAGUGGGCAGAGCACACAAACCUUUUGGAGGUGAGUGAAAUUGGCCUGUAUCCUUUCACUGCCUGUAAUUUGCUUUGUAACUUUGAUCACAUUAAGAAGUUCUUUGGGGCCUUGUUUUUCUUUCUUUUAAAAAAAAAAUGCUGAAUGGAAAUAACCUUUGGGACGAAGUAAAUGUGCAUUUUUUCUGUGGAAAUGUAUAAUAUGGUAUCUGAAAUAAAGAGGAGUACAUCAACAGAAAUGGAA